ACGGGAGGCAGCAGUGGGGAAUAUUGGACAAUGGGCGAAAGCCUGAUCCAGCCAUGCCGCGUGUGUGAAGAAGGCCUUCGCGUUGUAAAGCACUUUAAGCUAGGAGGAAGGUUCGUCUCCUAACACGUGACGGAAUUGACGUUACUCGCAGAGUAAGCACCUGAUAACGUCUGUGCCGACAGCCCCGGUAAUA
rnacentral:rRNA from 1 species